CCAAUAGCGUAUAUUAAAGUUGUUGUGGUUAAAAAGCUCGUAGUUGAACCUUGGGCCUGGCUGGCCGGUCCGCCUCACCGCGUGUACUGGUCCGGCCGGGCCUUUCCCUCUGUGGAACCCCAUGCCCUUCACUGGGUGUGGCGGGGAAACAGGACUUUUACUGUGAAAAAAUUAGAGUGCUCCAGGCAGGCCUAUGCUCGACUACAUUAGCAUGGAAUAAUAGAAUAGGACGUGUGGUUCUAUUUUGUUGGUUUCUAGGACCGCCGUAAUGAUUAAUAGGGACAGUCGGGGGCAUCAGUAUUCAAUUGUCAGAGGUGAAAUUCUUGGAUUUAUUGAAGACUAACUACUGCGAAAGCAUUUGCCAAGGAUGUUUUCAUUAAUCAGGAACGAAAGUUAGGGGAUCGAAGACGAUCAGAUACCGUCGUAGUCUUAACCAUAAACUAUGCCGACUAGGGAUCGGACGGUGUUAUUUUUUGACCCGUUCGGCACCUUACG
rnacentral:misc_RNA from 1 species